GACGAACGCUGGCGGCGUGCUUAACACAUGCAAGUCGAACGGAAACGCCCGGCUUUGGUGGGCUCCUCUAGUGGCGAACGGGUGAGUAACACGUGAGUAACCUGCCCUUGACUGUGGGGUAACUUCAGGAAACUGGGGCUAAUCGCGGAUAGGAGCUCCUGCUGCAGGGUGGGGGUUGGAUAGUUUCGGCGGUUGGGGAUGGACUCGCGGCCUAUCAGCUUGAUGGUUGGGUAGUGGAUGACCAAGGCUUUGACCGGUAGCCGGGCUGCGAGGGUGACCGGACACGUUGGGCCUGGAAUACGACCCGGACUAGUACGGGACGCAGGAGUGGAGAAUGGUGCACAAGGGGAGGAAGCAUGAUGCAGCAAAGCAGCGCGGGGGGAGACGGCAUUGGGGUUGUGAACCGCAGUCGCCUUUGACGAAGCGUGAGUGACGGUAAUGGGUAAAGAAGCACCGGCUAACUCCGUG
rnacentral:rRNA from 1 species